GAACGAAGGCUUCGGCCUUAGUGGCGCACGGGUGCGUAACGCGUGGGAAUCUGCCCUUGGGUUCGGAAUAACAGUUGGAAACGACUGCUAAUACCGGAUGAUGACGUAAGUCCAAAGAUUUAUCGCCCCAGGGAUGAGCCCGCGUGAGAUUAGAUAGUUGGUGAGGUAAAGGCUCACCAAGGCGACGAUCUCUAGCUGGUCUGAGAGGAUGAUCAGCCACACUGGGACUGAGACACGGCCCAGACUCCUACGGGAGGCAGCAGUGGGGAAUAUUGGACAAUGGGCGAAAGCCUGAUCCAGCAAUGCCGCGUGAGUGAUGAAGGCCUUAGGGUUGUAAAGCUCUUUUACCCGGGAUGAUAAUGACAGUACCGGGAGAAUAAGCUCCGGCUAACUCCGUG
rnacentral:rRNA from 1 species